AAAGGGAGAGAGAAUGGCGGUGACCGGAGGAUCACACCAUCACACCAGAUUCUGGCGCGACAACGACCCAAUUGACGGAGUGUCAACUUAGGGUUUAAGAAAGGGAUAGGCUGUGUAAAAGACCAUGACGAGAGUUAGCAUUCCGACCAAGUUAGACCAGAUUCCGUGUUCCGGUGAAGGUACAGCUAGGGUUCUAGGGAGCAGUGCCGGCAAGGAGAGCCAGGUGAAGAUCCGGUAAGUAGAUUGAAGCAUGUACAGGAGUUCUUCAAGUGAAUCGUCAACUCUCUAGGCCGACUGUACAUAUUAGAAACGGUGACGAGGAGUAGGGCACCAUUGGAAUUAGGGGCUGUUUAUGUCAAAUCGGUGAUAGGUUGUGAAAUUCUGGUUACACCCGUUUGGAACGCCGACAAAGGUGUAGUGUUCAAAGUUCUGAGAUAAAGCAUGGUGAUUUGGCUUGGUGAAGAUUUGAAGUUGUUGAGGUCGUUUUCAGUAAUGGGUGAUGGGAGUCAAGAAUAGGUCUCAACUGACUUGACUCGGUCAACACAGAAACUCAGGUUUGGGUUGAAGAUAAUUGAGAAACAAGGAUUAUGGAAAUAGAUGAGGGCUUGGAUAAUGAUCAGGCCAGCAAUCCAAAUUGCAAAUGGUCAACGGGUCGAGUCCGAUACAAUUAACACGUGUAAGUUUUAGCAUUAUGGAUGUGGGUCUGAUAAAAUUAACACGAAUGAGCUACCGCAUUACUUUGUUGCAACUCGGAGGCCAGGUUGCGUCUUGGUGACAAAUUAACUGGUGCAAGUGGGCGAGAUAUGGAAAAAAUGGUCAUGUGCUAUGAUGUAGAAAUCAUUCUAACCUUAUUCAAUGACCACUUUGAGAUACCUGGAUUUGUGGGUUGUCACACUAUGAAUAAGUGAGCAUUAAUAGUUCAGAACUUUGGAGUCCACAUCUAUAUAUUUUUGUUGGAAGAUAAUUAAUAGGGUGUUAUUACAAGUGAUUUUGAUCGUGGUUUGUUUUGAUUGACUUAUUUGGGAGGUCAUCAUCCCCUUUAAGACACGUAUCUUCCCUUUUCAUCUCAUUUUUAAACCUCAGAGGAAGAGAGAGAAAGAAAAAAAAAGGAGAGAGAACGGCGGUGACCGGAGGAUCACACCAUCACACCAGAUUCUGGCGCGACAACGACCCAAUUGACGGAGUGAUAACUAAGGGUUUAAGAUAGGGAUAGGUUGUGUAAAAGACCAUGACGAGAGUUAGCAUUCCGACCAAGUUAGACCAGAUCCCGAUAAGAUCCAAACCCAUCUGCAUGUUUCAUUCUUUGUUAGAUCGGUUCAAAACGGGUCUUGAAAGGAUCAUAUAUGUUGAUUCCGUGAACACAAGUGUUCUGUUGAAGGUACGGCUAGGGUUCUAGGGAGCAGUGCCGGCAAGGAGAGCCAGGUGAAGAUCCGGUAAGUAGAUUGAAGUAUGUACAGGAGUUCUUCAAGUGAAUCGUUAACUCUCUAGGCCGACUGUACAUAUUAGGUAAGCCACGAACUACUUCCGGGCACAUAUGUGAAUUCCGGUUAUGUAAUCAGGUUUAAAUGUGUGGAAACGGUGACGAGGAGUAGGGCACCGUUGGAAUUAGGGGCUGUUUAUGUCAAAUCGGUGACAGGUUGUGAAAUUCUGGUUACACCCGUUUGGAACACCGACAGAGGUGUAGUGUUCACAGUUCUGAGGUAAAGCAUGGUGAUUUGGCUUGGUGAAGAUUUGAAGUUGUUGAGGUCGUUUUCGGUAAUGGGUGAUGGGAGUCAAGAAUAGGUCUCAACUGACUUGACUCGGUCAACACAGAAACUGAGGUCAGAACCCGUUAAAUGAUGGAAGUUCCAGUGGCCUCUUCUAUGUUUUGAUGUUUGGUUUUGAACAUAGGUUUGGGUUGAAGAUGAUUGAGAAACAAGGAUAUGGAAAUAGAUGAGGGCUUGGAUGAUGAUCAGGCCAUCAAUCCAAAUUGCAAAUGGUCAACGGGUCGAGUCUGAUACAAUUAACACGUGUAAGUUUUAGCAUUAUGGAUGUGGGUCUGAUAAAAUUAACAUGAGUGAGGAAUGGAUAAUCACAAUUAGCCGAAGAAGAGGCUGAUAAACAAUCGUCCAUUGACAAGGGGAACGAUUUCCUUAGCAAUGUGAUUGUUACAAAGCAACCGCAUUACUUUGUUGCAACUCAGAGGCCAGGUUGCAUCUUGGUGACAAAUUAACUGGUGCAAGUGGGCGAGAUAUGGUUGCUUACGAAUCAAAAUGACAACUUUGGCGCUUGCCGAGAUAACACGCGAGGUAGAGUCACCGACAAUAGUAGCGGGUUCACGACUUUUGUUUACACAGGGAGUAAGUAUUCAUCACGGAACGGGUUCCGGUUCGAGUAAUGUUGCGAUUUAGGUAUGUUUCCAGUUUUUACCAAUCGUGUGUUAGAAUAGUUUCUUCCAUUUGGAGUUUAAAUGGAUUUUCACAUAUCCCACUACAGAUGCUUGAUUAUUGUUGUUCCUUUCUUCAUUUUUCUUAAUUAUGAUUGCGAAAUUUGUGAUAUGUUGGUGAGUUUUUGAGAUGUUGAGAGUUUUGUGAUGACAUUUUGGGGAAAGUAAGGUUUUUCUGU
rnacentral:lncRNA from 1 species